UACGAAGGGGGCUAGCGUUGCUCGGAAUCACUGGGCGUAAAGGGUGCGUAGGCGGGUCUUUAAGUCAGGGGUGAAAUCCUGGAGCUCAACCCCGGAAUUGCCUUUAAGACUGCAUCGCUUGAAUCCGGGAGAGGUGAGUGGAAUUCCGAGUGUAGAGGUGAAAUUCGUAGAUAUUCGGAAGAACACCAGUGGCGAAGGCGGCUCACUGGACCGGUAUUGACGCUGAGGUGCGAAAGCGUGGGGAGCAAACAGG
rnacentral:rRNA from 1 species